GGUGUUGGAGACAAGCAAGAGUGGGAAAAACACAAGUCAAAGGAUGAAGCCGACAAGAGAAGCUGGCCUGGUCGACAGGCCAUUUUGUCGACUAAGGUGAAGUUUGAGACUUAAAGAAUUAUAGCCAAAUGUGUAGAAGACAGCAUCGCCCUAACGUCUGGGCGGGAGAAAUUUGAAAUUUAAAAAUAACCAGCAGUUACAAGAAGAAUAAGAGCGCCAAAAUUUGGAGCAGUUAGCAAGACAUGGGUGCAACGGUUGUGCAGAUCGUGUGACAUAACAUGUGCUAGUUUCUAGGAGUUUUAGCUUAUGAGCAGUUCCUUUAGUUUAGUAUAAAUAGAAUGUCCCACAAGGGGCUCAGGGUGUUCACUUUGUACUGAAAAUCACUUGUAAGAAACUUUCCCAUUCCCAGCGC